rnacentral:rRNA from 1 species
UUUAGAGUUUGAUUCCAUGGCUCAGGACGAACGCUGGCGGCGUGCCUAAUACAUGCAAGUCGAGCGAAGAGAUGGGAGCUUGCUCCCUGAUCUUAGCGGCGGACGGGUGAGUAACACGUGGGCAACCUGCCCUGCAGACUGGGAUAACUCCGGGAAACCGGAGCUAAUACCGGGUAAUACAUCGCACCGCAUGGUGCAAUGUUGAAAGUUGGCUUUCGAGCUAACACUGCAGGAUGGGCCCGCGGCGCAUUAGCUAGUUGGUAAGGUAAUGGCUUACCAAGGCGACGAUGCGUAGCCGACCUGAGAGGGUGAUCGGCCACACUGGGACUGAGACACGGCCCAGACUCCUACGGGAGGCAGCAGUAGGGAAUCUUCCGCAAUGGACGAAAGUCUGACGGAGCAACGCCGCGUGAGUGACGAAGGCCUUCGGGUCGUAAAGCUCUGUUGUUAGGGAAGAACAAGUACCGUUCGAAUAGGGCGGUACCUUGACGGACCUAACCAGAAAGCCACGGCAA